UCCUUCCCUCCCAAAACUUCCCCAAAUGAAUUUCCCACCCACUCCAAACAGUCAAACCCUUGUCUUCUCCCUCUCUCUUUUGGGUCGUAGUUUCUCUUCUCCUCUACCCUGCAUCUCCUCUCUCUUGGUAGCGUGCGACAACGAGCAACAACGAACCCAAGAGCAUUCAUUCGCGUGGUGAACUUCGGCAGCCGUUUUACUGAGCGAUUGUUUGAGCAAUGAUUCUUCUGUACUUCGUCCUUCACGUUUUUCCUUUGGCAAACGCUGAACAUUUGCUGGUGAGGUAUUUGGGGGCUUCUAGCUUUGUACAUUGCCCUUUUAAUGCCCUAAUCUAGUGCCUUUGAUGCCGGAUGCUAUGGAAAUUAUAUUCCAAAAAGGCACUUGAUCUUCGAAGAAGUGGUGCUAUUUGUUUCUUAUACUUCUGAAUACAUUACUAUUUGGAUGUUCAACAAUGUUCAAAGACUUCAAGAGAAGGUUACGUAGCGACUUGAAGAAGAUUGUGGAUGGCCAGAUCCUUGCUUCUGAAACUAGACUAGGAGGGAAAGCAAAUGUGAUAAUUGUUAUAUGGCCAUUAUUUUGAUCUGAUUAUGAUAUUAUAUGCUUUUUUAACUUAACCCACAUUAGAAAUUACUUUCCAAUUAUUAUGCUUCUUUCUUGAUAAAUUUCUAUAUAGAUUACUGAAAAGUGAUUCACACGGAGUUGUAUUUUUUUUCCUGAUUUUGUUACAUCCAAUCUGGAAUUUGUUAUAGUUUACAAGAAUGCUUAAAUGGAGAGUUUGUUAGUUUAGCCCAAUUGGUUACUAUUAUUGGUAUGGUUUAUUAAAUUUUAAACAUUUCUUUAUGGACAAGUGUCCUACAUGAUCUUGGUAGAGUAAAUUGACUUAUUCUCAAUUUACGCUUACUCAUGCCAAAACAAAGCCCGAUCUGUGAUACCCACACCUUGUUUUCAUCAAAUCUACAAGUCCCAACACUUUCGCCAUUGUUUCAGCAAGGUUUAGUGGGUGACGACCCUUUGAACACCCUUUUAGAUUCAACUUUAGUAGUCAAAACUGAGUUGUAACAUGCUGAUUUUACCUUGUUGCCUAGGUUUCAAUCCGACUCAAGAAGUUAUGAGCGUUUAGGCGAGUUAGACCGGUAAUAAAGAUUUCAAGAUUGGCAUUAGGAACGAGAAGUUGCCAAGUUUCUCAAUGUUGCUAGAUCACAUCUUGAUGAACUUAAGCUUGUUUGGCCAUUUCCAUCUUAAUUUAAUAAAACAAAGGUAAGCUAUUAACUAUUGUGUGAUCAUCAUUCAUAUUGUGGCAUUGAAAUCUUAAAUCAAUCUGAAUUGGUCUUAUUAUAUGUUGUAACUAUAGCUAAACUAUUUCUCGUUGAACUAUUAACUAUUGUGAUCAUCAUUCUCUAUAUUGCUAGACCGCAUCUUGAUGAACUA